rnacentral:lncRNA from 1 species
GAACUGGGAUGGACUGGGAAUGAACUGGGAUGAACUGGGAUGAACUGGGAUGAACUGGGAUGAACUGGGAUGAACUGGGAGAGCACCAGCGCGCUGCUCCAGGCCAGGAAGGCACCGGUUCAAACUGGGACGGGACCAGUCAAAAGCCAGCUGGGCCAAACUGGGACGGACUGGGGGGAACUGGGACCGGAUCGGAACCAACUGGGACCAACUGGGACCAACUGGAACCAACUGGUUCUUACUGGAACCAGCAACUGGAACCAACUGGGCCCAACUGGGACCAACUGGGCCCAACUGGAACCAACUGGAAGAACCAACUGGAACCAACUGGACCCAACUGGAACCAACUGGAUCCAACUGGACCCAACCAGACCCAAC